rnacentral:rRNA from 1 species
CCUACGGGGGGCAGCAGUAGGGAAUAUUGCUCAAUGGGGGAAACCCUGAAGCAGCAACGCCGCGUGAAGGAUGAAGGUUUUCGGAUUGUAAACUCCUUUUUAUAGAGAAGAUAAUGACGGUAUCUGACGAAUAAGCACCGGCUAACUCCGUGCCAGCAGCCGCGGUAAUACGGAGGGUGCAAGCGUUAUUCGGAGUCACUGGGCGUAAAGAGCGCGUAGACGGGAUAGCAAGUCAGAUGUGAAAUCCUAUGGCUUAACCAUAGAACUGCAUUUGAUACUGUUAGUCUAGAGUAUGGGAGAGGUAGGCGGAAUUCUUGGUGUAGGGGUAAAAUCCGUAGAGAUCAAGAGGAACACUCAUUGCGAAGGCGGCCUGCUAGAACGUAACUGACGCUGAUGCGCGAAAGCGUGGGGAGCAAACAGGAUUAGAUACCCUUGUAGUC